AUUGAACGCUGGCGGCAGGCCUAACACAUGCAAGUCGAGCGAGGGGCGGGCGGGUGAGUAAUGUAUGGGGAUCUGCCUGAUGGAGGGGGAUAACUACUGGAAACGGUCGCUAAUACCGCAUCCCCUCAGCUGACCCCAUAUUGGAUUAGCUAGUAGGUGGGGUAACGGCUCCCCUAGGCGACGAUCCCUAGCUGGGCUGAGAGGAUGAAAAGCCACACUGGGACUGCGACACGGCCCAGACUCCUACGGGAGGCAGCAGUGGGGAAUAUUGCACAAUGGGCGCAAGCCUGAUGCAGCCAUGCCGCGUGUAUGAAGAAGGCCUUCGGGUUGUAAAGUACUUUCAGUCGGGAGGCGUUACCGGCAGAAGAAGCACCGGCUAACUCCGUGCCAGCAGCCGCGGUAAUUC
rnacentral:rRNA from 1 species